rnacentral:tRNA from 1 species
GGGGGUAUAGCUCAGUUGGGAGAGCGCUUCGCUGGCAGUGAAGAGGUCGUCGGUUCAAGCCCGUCUACUUCCA